CCUGUGAGUGGCAGGCGGUGGGAGGCCAGGUGGGGCAGGGUCUGGGAAACCUUGUCAGCCUCACAGAGGGCAGCCAGUGGCUGGGGAGGCGGUGGCUUUGGCCCAGGCCUCAACAUUGUUCCCACCCCAGGCUUUCCAGGAGGAGCUGGCCCAGUUCCGGGAGCAACUGGACACCUGCAGGGGCCCUGUGAGCUGUGCCCUUGUGGCCCUGAUGGCCCAUGGGGGACCACGGGGUCAGCUGCUGGGGGCUGACGGGCAAGAGGUGCAGCCCGAGGCACUCAUGCAGGAGCUGAGCCGCUGCCAGGUGCUGCAGGGCCGCCCCAAGAUCUUCCUGUUGCAGGCCUGCCGUGGGGGAAACAGGGAUGCUGGUGUGGGGCCCACAGCUCUCCCCUGGUACUGGAGCUGGCUGCGGGCACCUCCAUCUGUCCCCUCCCAUGCAGAUGUCCUGCAGAUCUACGCUGAGGCCCAAGGUGGGUUCUGCCUUCCUUCCAGGGCCUGGGCUUGGGCAGGGCUGGUUGUGGGGACCGUCCAGAGAGCAUCUCCAGGGCUCUAAGCUGGGGUAUGGCUGCCACCUGCAUCCUCUGUUUGCCAAGACAAUGGGAAGAAAAAAAAUCUUCCUAAACC
ensembl:lncRNA CASP16P caspase 16, pseudogene